GAUGAACGCUGGCGGCGUGCCUAAUACAUGCAAGUCGAGCGAACCGAUCAGGAUCUUGCUCCGCCGACGUUGUCGCCGGACGGGAGAUUAACACGUGUAUAACCUACUUAUGAGACUGGGAUAACUUCGGGAAACCGGAGCUAAUACCGGAUAAUAUAUUGAACCGCAUGUAUCAAUAGUUGAAGACGGUUUUGCUGGCACUUAUAGAUGGAUCCGCGCCUCAUUCGCUAGUGGGUAAGGUAACGGCUUACCAAGGCAAGGAUGCGGAGACGCCCUCAGAGGGACGUUCGACACACUGGAACUGAGGCACGGUCCCGACUCCUACGGGGGGCCGCAGUACGGAAUCCUACGCAAUGGGGCAGUGCGUGACCGUGCACAGCGGCGUGAGUGAUGAAGGUGUCAUGCUCGUAGAGCUAUGUUAUCAUGAAAGAAGAAAUGUGUAAGUAACUAUGCACAUCUUGACGGUACCUACACAGGAAGCCCCGGCUAACUCCGUG
rnacentral:rRNA from 1 species